rnacentral:rRNA from 1 species
CCUCCGGUANGGGGNCCUGCGGAAGGAUCAUUAAAGAUUAUGAAUGAAUAGAUUACUGGGGGAAUCGUCUGAACAAGGCCUGCGCUUAAUUGCGCGGCCAGUUCUUGAUUCUCUGCUAUCAGUUUUCUAUUUCUCAUCCUAAACACAAUGGAGUUUUUUCUCUAUGAACUACUUCCCUGGAGAGCUCGUCUCUCCAGUGGACAUAAACACAAACAAUAUUUUGUAUUAUGAAAAACUAUUAUACUAUAAAAUUUAAUAUUCAAAACUUUCAACAACGGAUCUCUUGGUUCUCGCAUCGAUGAAGAACGCAGCGAAUUGCGAUAUGUAUUGUGAAUUGCAGAUUUUCGUGAAUCAUCAAAUCUUUGAACGCACAUUGCGCCCUCUGGUAUUCCAGGGGGCAUGCCUGUUUGAGCGUCAUUUCUCUCUCAAACCUUUGGGUUUGGUAGUGAGUGAUACUCGUCUCGGGUUAACUUGAAAGUGGCUAGCCGUUGCCAUCUGCGUGAGCAGGGCUGCGUGUCAAGUCUAUGGACUCGACUCUUGCACAUCUACGUCUUAGGUUUGCGCCAAUUCGUGGUAAGCUUGGGUCAUAGAGACUCAUAGGUGUUAUAAAGACUCGCUGGUGUUUGUCUCCUUGAGGCAUACGGCUUUAACCAAAACUCUCAAAGUUUGACCUCAAAUCAGGUAGGAGUACCCGCUGAACUUAAGCAUAUCAAUAAGCCGGAGGA